UAUCUACUCCCUCCGUCCGAAAAUACUUGUCGGAGAAAUGGAUGAAUCUAGACGUAUUUUAGUUAUAGAUACAUCUAAUUUUAUCCAUUUCUCCGACAAGUAUUUGAGACGGAGGGAGUAGACA
rfam:Triticum aestivum genome assembly, contig: Triticum_aestivum_CS42_TGACv1_scaffold_062342_1DL